GACGAACGCUGGCGGCGUGCCUAAUACAUGCAAGUAGAACGCUGAAGGAGGAGCUUGCUUCUCUGGAUGAGUUGCGAACGGGUGAGUAACGCGUAGGUAACCUGCCUGGUAGCGGGGGAUAACUAUUGGAAACGAUAGCUAAUACCGCAUAAUAGUAGAUGUUGCAUGACAUUUACUUGAAAGGUGCAAUUGCAUCACUACCAGAUGGACCUGCGUUGUAUUAGCUAGUUGGUGGGGUAACAGCUCACCAAGGCGACGAUACAUAGCCGACCUGAGAGGGUGAUCGGCCACACUGGGACUGAGACACGGCCCAGACUCCUACGGGAGGCAGCAGUAGGGAAUCUUCGGCAAUGGACGGAAGUCUGACCGAGCAACGCCGCGUGAGUGAAGAAGGUUUUCGGAUCGUAAAGCUCUGUUGUAAGAGAAGAACGAGUGUGAGAGUGGAAAGUUCACA
rnacentral:rRNA from 1 species